CUGACCCAGGGAUCAAACCCAAGUCUCCAGCAUUUCAGGAAGUGAGGUCUACAUCUUUGAUAACCACUUUCCCCCCAUAAGGGAAGGGCUCAGAUGUUUCAGAGACAAGUAAGUCAAGUCUAAGGAUCAACAGAGCACUUCAGAAGACUAGAGGAAGAAAAAGGCUCCACCAGGAUUCUCCAGGAAAGAAUAUUGGAAUGGG